rnacentral:sRNA from 1 species
UGUGUUUUUACCUUAAUUUAUUUGGCAAUAAAACACUGUUUGUUGUUUAUUUUGUAUCAUGUAUUGUUCACAAAGUGGUUAAAUUUUGUUUUAACGUGUUUUUAUAUAAUGCAAAGAUGACAUUUCAUUUUGUAUAAAGGGUUAUUCCUUUGGUUUUGAAUUUUUUGUGCAUACUUAAUUUGCAAAAAUUACUUCUUAUCAUGUCAUAGUCUCAUUCUUUACUUUUUGUGGUUAUUAAAAAUGCUUAUUAAAAUGAAGGGGACGUCCUCUUUCAAGGGGAGAUAAUUAAAAUUAUUGAAAAAAUUCGGUAUUAUUCAAUUAUCUUCAGAAAAGCUUAAACUUGUCAGGAAUCAUCCUCAUGUAGACUUACAUUUGUUCAAGACAUGAUCAUCGGGAGUACAGCUGGACUACAGUGUUGAGUCAAAUUUUAUAAUUUUUUUCUCAAAAACUAUUUUGCCAGAAAAGCUGUAACUUGUUCGGAAGCAUCCUCAAGUAAUGAAGAUUUGUUCAAGUCAGGUUCGCCGGGAUAGGUUUUGACCACAAUGGGAGUUGAAAUUUUUAAAUAAGAAUAUAUGAGAAAAAAUCUUCUUCAAAACCUAUCAACCAAUAAAGCUGUAACUUUAGUGAAAGCAACCUCAGAUAGUGUAGAUUCAAGUUGUCAAAAUCACAAUAUUUGCAGGUAGGGUUUGGCCACAAUUGGGUAGGGAUACAAUUUUUUUCAUAGGUAUAUAUUAAAAAAUUAAUUUAAAAAAAAAUUGCCUAAGCUGUUUUUUUUAAUGAAAUCAAGCUCAGAUUGUGUAAAUAGGGUUGAAUCACAUUAGAGGGUUAAAUUUUACAUAGGAAAAAAAAUAUUUUUUAAAAACUUAAAUGCUACGAUAUAUGAUAUUACUAAUACGCAAGUAUUUUGACAUAUUGUUGGUUCUUGAUUCUUUAGAUUGUCGCCUCUGGAUAAUUAUUGACCCCACAAUGGGUUCAAAGGUUGAUGUAAGUUUAUAUGUUUAUAAGAUCUCCUUGAGAACUGCAAUACUCAAUAUGUGAAAAGACUAUGAUAUCAUCCGUUACAAAAGUGGCUGAAUAUUUAAUAUAAGAAUAUUCUAGGGAAAUUUGUGAAUCUUUUUAUACAGGAACUAUUCUUCUACAUUGUCCAGAAUUUUUGUACAUGUAUACUACGAUGACUGAAUAAAGCUGAUUUUU